GAUGAACGCUGGCGGCGUGCCUAAUACAUGCAAGUCGAGCGAACAGAUGAGGAGCUUGCUCCUCUGACGUUAUCGGCGGACGGGUGAGUAACACGUGGAUAACCUACCUAUAAGACUGGGAUAACUUCGGGAAACCGGAGCUAAUACCGGAUAAUAUAUUGAACCGCAUGGUUCAAUAGUGAAAUACGGUUUUGCUGUCACUUAUAGAUGGAUCCGCGCCGCAUUAGCUAGUUGGUAAGGUAACGGCUUACCAAGGCAACGAUGCGUAGCCGACCUGAGAGGGUGAUCGGCCACCCUGGAACUGAGACACGGUCCAGACUCCUACGGGAGGCAGCAGUAGGGAAUCUUCCGCAAUGGGCGAAAGCCUGACGGAGCAACGCCGCGUGAGUGAUGAAGGUCUUCGGAUCGUAAAACUCUGUUAUUAGGGAAGAACAAAUGUGUAAGUAACUAUGCACGUCUUGACGGUACCUAAUCAGAAAGCCACGGCUAACUACGUG
rnacentral:rRNA from 1 species